rnacentral:rRNA from 1 species
UACGGGGGGGCAAGCGUUGUUCGGAAUUACUGGGCGUAAAGGGCGCGUAGGCGGUUCGUUAAGUUGGAUGUGAAAACUCUGGGCUCAACCCAGAGCCUGCAUCCAAAACUGGCGGGCUAGAGUUCUGGAGGGGUAGCGGAAUUCCUGGUGUAGCGGUGAAAUGCGUAGAUAUCAGGAGGAACACCGGUGGCGAAGGCGGCUACCUGGACAGAAACUGACGCUGAGGCGCGAAAGCUAGGGGAGCAAACAGG